CAGCAAGCAAUUAUUUCCUCGGAAGUUGGAGGGCCUGUAAAAAAAUUAUUCGCGUUUGUGUGAAGGUUCUGUUGGCGAUUUUUGUUGAGUUUUGGGUAUAAUACCCGGUCAAAAUGCUUGUGGAUACUCUUUAUUAAAGUGAUUAAGUCCCAUGCUUCAGUUUUGUCAUUGAAUUCAAGAGUUGCACUGUAGUUUUCACACUUUGCUUGUAGGUGUUAUAUUUCGUCAUUAGUGUAUUAAAUUCAUCUGCUCGGUAAGCUAGCUCGGCCCAGUCUGGCCGGCCCCGCCCCAGCCAUGAACGGUCUCAGUCUGACCGAGCUGUGCUGCCUGUUCUGCUGUCCACCAUGCCCGUCACGGAUCGCCGGGAAGCUGGCGUUCCUGCCGCCCGAGGCCACAUACAGUCUGAUGGCCGACGAGACGGGCGACAAGCACAACAUCAUCCUCACAGAGCGAGCCGACUGGCUCUACACCGACAAGGAGAAGGAGGCCAUGGAGGCGUUCUACACGCGCACCAGCAAGGGCAACCGCAUCGCCUGCAUGUACAUCAAGUGCUGCCCCAACGCCAAGUACACGGUGCUGUUCUCACACGGGAACGCCGUGGACCUGGGCCAGAUGAGCAGUUUCUACCUUGGGCUGGGCUCACGCAUCAACUGUAACGUGUUCAGCUACGACUACUCGGGCUACGGUGACGGCACCGGCCGUCCGUCCGAGAAGAACCUGUACGCCGACAUCGAGGCGGCGUGGCUGGCGCUGCACAGUCGGUACGGCGUGCCGCCCGAGUCGGUGAUCCUCUACGGUCAGAGCAUCGGCACCGUGCCCACCGUCGACCUGGCGUCGCGACACGAGUUCGGCGGCGUGGUGCUCCACUCACCGCUCAUGUCCGGCAUGCGCGUGGCGUUCAAGACGCAGCGCACCUGGUUCUUCGACGCCUUCCCCAAUAUCGACAAGGCGCCGAAGAUCAAGUCUCCAGUGCUGGUGAUUCACGGUACGGAAGACGAGGUGAUCGACUUUUCACACGGCCUGGCCAUCCACGCCAAGUGUCCGCGCGCCGUCGAGCCGCUCUGGGUCGAGGGGGCCGGCCACAAUGAUAUCGAGGUACACGGCCAGUACCUGGAGCGGCUGAAGAAGUUUGUGUCCGACGACCUGCCCAACUGACGCUCAGUGCCGGCGCACGUCGGCCGGCAACCAGUGCCGCCCGGUGCGCCGGAACAGCCGCCGACAGAGCUCUCGGCCGCCGAGCGGCCGGCAGCGCUGGCCGCCGCCGCCGCCUCACUCUGUGACCUCCGCCUGGGCAGUCCCAGCGACGGCGGCUGGAUGGGCGAGAAGCUGCUCUGAGCGGCCGGCCGGCCUCAAGACUUGCACCAGUACAAUCGCGCGCCGAGCGAGCCGGACGUCCGACACGGCCGACCGGCCUCGGCUCCUCUGCACACGCGUGUUAUCACUUUCCAUUGGCUGUAUACGGGGUGCCAGGGCGACCCGGGACGCCGCCGGCCGGGACACAGCUGAUCUCAGCCGAGGGCCCGCCGCCGCGGCCGGCCGCCGGGCCGCGCUGGUGGCGGGCCGGCCGGACGCCGUGUGACUGUGAGCCGAGCAGCGCGAGUGUGUGUGAGAGAGAGAAAGAUCAGUGAGAUAGCCCUAUCGAAUCUGGUCACCGAUCAUCGUAUUUUGAAACUGUGUCUUUAUACCUCGUAGAACCAGUCUGUUGUGUACUCUAAGUUAGCGCGGUGCGUCGUUUGGACCUUGUUUUGCCUUGGCCCCCGGUGGGCUGUCACCGCCGGGUGCCCGCCGGUCCCGGGCGCUCUCCUAAUUGCCUUGAGGUCUGUGUAAGUAUACGCGGCGUGCUUCUUGUUCGAGCCGGGACCCGGGGCUGGUCUGUACAAUGUUCAGUGCAAGCAACGGGCCGGCGCACCCAAGUGUUCCGGCGCUGAUCCUGAAUCAUUGUGACUUUUUCAUUGGCCAAGAAUUCCGAAAUUGCCGGCCAACUUUUCUUUUUCAUCCCACUUUGAUUGCAUGGUUUGCCGCCCACCUGCUCGUCAAAGCCCGAAUAUCCACUGACCGAUUUGCCUGAAUGCAUACAAUACAAUCGUAACUGUC
rnacentral:misc_RNA from 1 species